GGAUCAAUAUGUUGGUCGUGCCUUGGUACGUACUAAUUUAUUGGUUUCUUCCUUCUGACGAACCAUGAUGUCAUUUGUUUGGUGUUGUGGGGAAUCAGGACUGUUACUUUGAAAAAGUUAGAGUGUUUAAAGCAGGCUCACGCUUGAAUACAUUAGCAUGGAAUAAUGAAAUAGGACGUUUGAUUCUAUUCUGUUAGUUUCUAGGAUCGACGUA
rnacentral:rRNA from 1 species